GGCUCCUCCACUCGUAUACUGUAUGUAGAUAGCUCAAAGUCGUUAUAAAUAUGUAAACUUGUAAAAGAUGAAAAAAUGUAGCCCCAGUAGGGAAGCCUAACAAAAACCUGUGCUGGGGGUGUGUGCUGUACCAAUUAUCAGCAUCUUAGCAAAAGCCGUAGACCUGGCCAUGAUCAACGUGUUGAGGGGCGUCUUAUCUUGCCCUAUAAACUCCGCUAUCUCCUUAGUAAUUUCGCAGUGCCGUUUUAAAUCGGGGUCAUUUAUAGCCUACUCUGAAUCAUUUCAGUCAGUGAUCCCUGUCGUGUGGUAUUUGGUCUAGGGCUGCAACUAACGAUUAUUUUAAUAAUCGAUUAUUCUGUUGAUUAUUUUUUCGAUUAAUCUAUGAAUCGGAUAAAAAAAAUAAACAUUUGGAAUUGCCGCAUCUUUAUUCAAAAACUGAACAUUACUUCAAAUUCACAGUGCAGACUGAAGUGUAAAAACACCAGGUUAUUGCUCCAACGUCCCGGAACUAUUAAAAGUAAUAUUAAAUAAUAAAAAAAUUAAAAAAACAUAACUGGGAUGACACCAAAAAAAACAUACAAUGUAUGAUAUUCUUUUAUAUGUAUAUAAGGGAUGUCCAUGGUUAACCGGUCAAACCUAUUGAUACCAUUUUCGAGACUCCUUGAAAUAGAACUUGUAAUAUUGCUUUAAUUGCUGAUAAGAUGAUGAUAGUUCAAGAUAGGACAUUAAACGGGUCAUAAUUCUAUCUUUACUAUCUAUUUUAUAUUACUGGGAAAACAAGUUUUCACCAAAAUCUCAAUUUAUUUUUUUUCUGUCUUGUACGCCUCAAUCAUAUUACAAGCCGACCUGAACACAUCACAUUUGACACUGUUUGUGACCAUUGGUUAGUUGUUUUUUUUUAAGCUAACGAGCUCUAUAUCCUGCCGAUUUUAACAUGGAUUUAAAAACUGCAUUACUAUUUUUAACUGACGGGACUUUCUACACCGUCCGGUUGUGCGAUUACUACCGCGGCUUUGAAUGACUGUUGAUGCACGCGGUGCCGACUCCGAGCCCGUCUGCACACCGUCUGCAGCAGCAGCAGCUGACAGAGUUUUCGUGAAGGUACAACACUUUUAUGUAGGCCUACAGUCCAGU